CUUAGCUCAGUUGGCUAGAGCACCUGACUGUAGAUCAGGGGGUCCCCGGUUCAAGUCCGGGAGCGCGGACCA
rnacentral:tRNA from 1 species